UCUUAAAAUCUUUUUAUUCAAACUCUUGAAACUCGAUGAGGUAAACCGCAAGAGCGCUAACGUUCCCGGUUCCUUGGCAUCUCAGCUUGGUUUCAAACCGCGUUCAUCUGUCGUUACAGAGAAACUUCAAAAAUCAAUAGGCAUUACUGGGUGGAAACCUAAAACACUGCAAUUGAAAUUGGACAGUGGCYAUCUUGCUGGGUAACGUAUAUUCUCUGUAUGACAGUAACCACCGCUCUUUGACGAUUUUAUACCAUGUUGGUGCGAUCAAAACAGUCCGUAGCGACGUGCAAGUCAUCUUCUCAUCCUAGACGACUACACGUUACAGUCCCCUGGCAGCUCGACAAGAAACUGAACCUCAUGAUGGCGGAUUUUCUUGUUUCUCUACUGUAACAUUUUCGCUGAAACGUUCUAGGAAAUCGUUCGCAGAUGGASAAAGUGGAUGUUGUUUCAGCGUUACCUCACAAAGAAAGUCUACAGGCCUUUGUCAGUACAACAGAUAUUCAAAUUGUUUUCAUAUUGCUUUAGUUUUAGAAUACAAAACUUCUCGAAGAAAUUGUUGUUGAAACUUCAUUUGAAUUUUCACACCCCGAUGAAAUCUUUUCWGAGUUUCAGUUCCAYRUUKGUACAAGGACACGCGAUUGGCUGCCGUUUAUAACGACCUUCACAUGAUGCGGCUUCAUGGCGUCGAUGGUUUAGUCACCCUCAGCGUAGAGUUGCAGAAAGUUGAAUUUAGUGUGUGUACCUUUUGAUUGGUUGUUSUAGAAUGUAUGAUCAGACACCAACAGAAGAAACACAUUUAUUGGUAUCACUUGCAACUGUAUUGUGUAUUACACAGGUCUUAGUAUUCAACUGAGGGCGUAUGAAUAUUGAUACUACACCAUCAACACACAAGUUAUAUUAUCUCUGUUUAAUUUUGAUCAAGUGUUCUGAAACUAACAUUCUAUCUAUUGCAAUCAUGUAGGUAUGCAAAUAUCUUUUUCUGAUCACCGCGAGUGUUACAUUGUCUGUGUUUUGUGAAGGCUUUUGUCAACAUUUUACCCUGAAGCUAUAUAGUUGGUUGCUUUCAUCUCUAUUUAGCUACUUCAAUCUCUGUUUCCUUCCUCUCUUAGCUGUCCCUUUCAUCUUCAACAAAAUCACAUUUUUGUAUUAAAUAAUUAUAUCAUUCUAUUUGAUUCAAAUGAUUUUAUUUACAUCUAAACUGUGCUGAACUAUAAAUGUUUUCAUUGUGCCCCUCAGAAGAGGCUUUCAGCGAUAUUAUCACACUCUAAGAAUGAGAUUUAAGAUUGGAACGUAAUAACUUAAAUAACGAAGAGACCGACUAACUAUACAAGAAAUAUGAAAUAUGCUGGUGGAAAGCCACUAGUUUACCAUAUCAUAUGUUAAGYGUUCUGUGAAUAUAUCUAUAUAAUGUACCAUCUAAUAGUAAAUUACUAGUAUUAUGUAUGAUAAAUUACUGGUAAAAAGAAUGCUCAAUGCAACUCUGAAAAUAUUUAGAAAAACCUCAUCAACCUCACAUGAAAGCAUCAGUUGUGACUUAUGUCCAGUGUUCUAUACUUUCAGUUUAUGUCUAAUGAGGGAAUCAUUGAAAUUAUAGAAUCACGGGACUAGCUAGAAGUAACGAUACGUCUGAAACGAGAAAAAAAUUACAUUCAAUGAGCUUCACAAAACAUUCCUGUUUCGAUACUGUUCUUAAAGAAUGAGUCCCCUGAGUCAAAUUUUAGUGUGACUAAUUUCAAUGUGAAUUUAAUAAAUCAAAUACAAAAUACAACACAGAUAACAGAAAGAUAAAUUAUUUUGAAAGAAAACUAGAAAAACUUUAGGUACUUUCAAUCAAUUGUAAAGAAAACUUAAUUAGGAUGAAAACGAAAGAAAAAACGAGAAGCAACAGCUGUUUUAUCACUGUAUAAAAAAAUGGUUGCUUGGACAAUUCCUUCACUUUAGCUCCCUAAGACAUGCUGAGAUACAACURGUUAUCUAUAUUAUUAGCUGAGUCAGCCCAUGGCUUCUAAUUGCUCUCCUUUGGUAAUCACUCUGUAAUUUAUCUAAUCGGUUUGUUGAUAAAGUACACGGUCGCUUAAAUUGCAUUUGAAAUAAUCAAAUAACAUUUGUAAUUCAGUUCAAAAUGGCAUGUUUAGUUAGCUCCCAUAUCAAGAAUUGUAUAAAAGUGUUGAGAAAACCUAUUGUAAUGGGAUGUUUAGUCAAAUGAACAGUAACAAUUGMUUAAAACAUGUCUAAUUGUCUCUCAA